UACGAAGGGGGCUAGCGUUGUUCGGAAUUACUGGGCGUAAAGCGAACGUAGGCGGUGUUCCAUGUCAGAGGUGAAAGCCUGGGGCUCAACUCCAGAAUUGCCUUUGAGACGGGAUCGCUUGAGUCCGAGAGAGGAUGGCGGAAUUCCUAGUGUAGAGGUGAAAUUCGUAGAUAUUAGGAAGAACACCGGUGGCGAAGGCGGCCAUCUGGCUCGGUACUGACGCUCAGGCGCGAAAGCGUGGGGAGCAAACAGG
rnacentral:rRNA from 1 species